ensembl:lncRNA
CCUCGCCCGGGAAAGCCGGGGAGAGCUCCAAGGUCGAAUGCCCCCACUACUGAAUUGGAGAAGAUGGAGAAGAGGGAAAGAAAAAUUAGGUCAAGGCACCGUAGAACUGCGGGGCAAAUAGUGAGAGGGCAGGCGUCCGCUGUAGUAGCGUCGAAGCGUGAAAAAAAUACGACGGAGUCCCCGAGGGAAGAGAACCCGGAGCUGUGAGCGCCAUCCUCCUGUGGACAGUAGGCGGCGGCUUUAAAAGACUGAGCCCGGGAGAAGAAUUUCCAAUAAACAGCCUAAAGGCGGAGCCUGGGAGAAGACAGAAAGUUACACUCGCGCUGCUCUGAUAAAGGGGGUUCGGCUGCCCCCAAGCCCCAGAAUCUCGUCCUGGGUGAUGUUUUUGUUGUCAGUUUCACUCUUGGUAGUCUUCUCCUUAGAGCUGAGAAGUGGCUCAUAAGCCACCCAAGAUUUGUGUGUGUCCUUUAACAGCUUAGGAGAGAGACGAAGACCAAAAUUACUUAAAGGAAAACACCUGUGUGGUAGCCGAAUGUCCCGGCGGGGCGGCUCAGCAAGCUCGCCUCCCAGGUGCAGUUCCUCGCAGGGGGGAAGUCAGGCAGCCCCCAAAACUUCUGCGAAGGCGCACGCUUCCUGGCCCCAUUGCCCCUCCCACCUCGAGCACACGAUUUUAAUCCUUCCUCGAGGAUGCUUACGGUGAGGCGACGCUCGCUCAAUUUCACUAUGCUCCUAAACCGACACAUUUUUAGAGUUUGGAAAUUUCACAGUCUGUUUCUGACCCUUUUAAUUCAAUUUAAUAAAUACUUACUGAGCAUUUUCUAUUAAUUUGCUUAUUCUUUCUUUCUACAAAUAUUUACUGAGUGCCUUGAUAUCCGAGACUCUGGGAAUACAGAGGUAAACAAGCAGAUUUACACUAGGAUGACGGCUUACACUCUAGUAGGGGGAGAGGAGACAGAAAA